GAACGGGUGAGUAACACGUGGGUGAUCUGCCCUGCACUUUGGGAUAAGCCUGGGAAACUGGGUCUAAUACCGAAUAUGACCAUGCGCCUCCUGGUGUGUGGUGGAAAGCUUUUGCGGUGUGGGAUGGGCCCGCGGCCUAUCAGCUUGUUGGUGGGGUAAUGGCCUACCAAGGCGACGACGGGUAGCCGGCCUGAGAGGGUGACCGGCCACACUGGGACUGAGAUACGGCCCAGACUCCUACGGGAGGCAGCAGUGGGGAAUAUUGCACAAUGGGCGCAAGCCUGAUGCAGCGACGCCGCGUGAGGGAUGACGGCCUUCGGGUUGUAAACCUCUUUCAGCACAGACGAAGCGCAAGUGACGGUAUGUGCAGAAGAAGGACCGGCCAACUACGUGCCAGCAGCCGCGGUAAUACGUAGGGUCCGAGCGUUGUCCGGAAUUACUGGGCGUAAAGAGCUCGUAGGUGGUUUGUCGCGUUGUUCGUGAAAACUCACAGCUUAACUGUGGGCGUGCGGGCGAUACGGGCAGACUUGAGUACUGCAGGGGAGACUGGAAUUCCUGGUGUAGCGGUGGAAUGCGCAGAUAUCAGGAGGAACACCGGUGGCGAAGGCGGGUCUCUGGGCAGUAACUGACGCUGAGGAGCGAAAGCGUGGGGAGCGAACAGGAUUAGAUACCCUGGUAGUCCACGCCGUANACGGUGGGUACUAGGUGUGGGUUUCCUUCCUUGGGAUCCGUGCCGUAGCUAACGCAUUAAGUACCCCGCCUGGGGAGUACGGCCGCAAGGCUAAAACUCAAAGANNNUGAC
rnacentral:rRNA from 1 species